rnacentral:lncRNA from 1 species
GGCAGGGAACACUGUCAAAGCAGCUUCUUAUAGUCAUCUGACGCAUCUCCUUUGCUGCUUUCAAGCUUUUUCACUGUGACCGUUCAGUCUACCCUAUCCUGGUGAUCAUGGAUUACAAACUGCAUCCCACCUGUUGAUCACUGGUUUCACAAGUAAAACCAAGGUUUAUGAGCAGAUUUCUUAAGUCAAGCUCUUAAGGUUCCUUGGAGAACUCUUACGCGAUAAAGAACCUUUGAGCUCAAAGGGUUCCAGGACUCUGCACACCUCCUCCAUCACCUCCCAUUCCUCUUGGGUCAGAGCAUCAACAGG